rnacentral:rRNA from 1 species
UUGAUCAUGGCUCAGGAUGAACGCUAGCGGCAGGCUUAACACAUGCAAGUCGAGGGGUAGAGGAAGCUUGCUUCCUUGAGACCGGCGCACGGGUGCGUAGCGCGUAUGCAAUCUACCUUAUACAGGGGGAUAGCCCAGAGAAAUUUGGAUUAAUACCCCAUAGUAUAAUUGAAUGGCAUCAUUUAAUUAUUAAAGUUCCAACGGUAUAAGAUGAGCAUGCGUCCCAUUAGCUAGUUGGUGUGGUAACGGCACACCAAGGCGACGAUGGGUAGGGGUCCUGAGAGGGAGAUCCCCCACACUGGUACUGAGGCACGGACCAGACUCCUACGGGAGGCAGCAGUGAGGAAUAUUGGUCAAUGGGCGCAAGCCUGAACCAGCCAUGCCGCGUGCAGGAUGACGGUCCUAUGGAUUGUAAACUGCUUUUGUACAGGAAGAAACACUCCCUCGUGAGGGAGCUUGACGGUACUGUAAGAAUAAGGAUCGGCUAACUCCGUG